rnacentral:rRNA from 1 species
AACGAACGCUGGCGGCAUGCCUAACACAUGCAAGUCGAACGAGACCUUCGGGUCUAGUGGCGCACGGGUGCGUAACGCGUGGGAACCUGCCCUUAGGUUCGGAAUAACUCCCCGAAAGGGGUGCUAAUACCGGAUAAUGUCUUCGGACCAAAGAUUUAUCGCCUUUGGAUGGGCCCGCGUUGGAUUAGCUAGUUGGUAGGGUAAAAGCCUACCAAGGCGACGAUCCAUAGCUGGUCUGAGAGGAUGAUCAGCCACACUGGGACUGAGACACGGCCCAGACUCCAACGGGGGGCAGAGGUGGAGAAAAUUGGACAAUGGGCGAAAGCCUGACCCAGCAGUGCUGCGGGAGUGAUGAAGGCCUAGGGGUGGUAAAGCUCUUUUCCCCGGGAUGAUAAUGACAGUACCGGGAGAAGAACCUCCGGCUAACUCC